rnacentral:lncRNA from 1 species
CUGGAAGUCAAACAGCCUUGGCUGUAUGGAGAUACAGGCAGAAGGAGAAGAAACUAGGAGGGAAAAAUGAGGACAUCCCUUCUGUCAUGCAUGCUGCCCUCUCUUCUAGUCUUCAAGAGCCAAGAUGGCAUUUCUGUUUGGCUUAGGGAAUGGAAAUAAUGUGGAGUUGUGCGACCAGCUCAAGUUGGCAGGUUAUUGCAAUGGAAGCUCCAAUCCAAGAGGGUCUGUGGAGUUCCAGUUUACAGUGGACAUGACCGGCAUCCAGAGAGACUUGAAAGAAGCCUGAAUCUUCUCACUAGAAUCCCUGCAAAAUGACUCAUGUAAUUGCUCUAAGAAUCCUUAGCCUUUAUUGUACACCCACACAAUUCUGAUGCUAUAGACUCCUGUGGCAUGCAGGGAAAGUGGGAAGGGGGCCCAUUUUAGAUGCCUAGAAUUUCAGAAGGGACCACCAAUUCCACUUGUAAGAGCAGCUGGGGAGUGCCAAAUACCCAAACCAAGGCACCUGCC